AGGAAGAAGGGCCGGAGGUACAGGGAUGGGGCCUGGCUGACCUCCAUGCCCAGAGCCUUCCUUUCCCAAGUGGGAAGAAGUAGGAGGUUCCUGUAGAACAAAUGCCAGGGAAGAGGUGGCACGGAGCCCCAAGGGGGCUCAGGCGAGGGUCCAGGCCAGGUGGGCAGGCGGGGGCAGCACUCUGCAAGGGCAGGAGCCGUCAGAAGAGCGUCGGCUGUCCCCGGAGAAGGCCCUCUUGGAAGGAGCGAGCUGCCAGCAAGCAUAUGAAGAGAUGCUUGAAAUCAUCAGUCAUCAGAGAAAUGCAAAUUAAAACCACCACGAUGAUCCCAUCCCACCAUCAGGCUGCCAAGAUGAGAAGCUGGAUCUGCCAAGUCCUGGAAUGUUCUCAACCUUCAAAGUUCAAAAGGCUCACGUGAUGGUGUCUAUGCAACGUGUGCGCAUCCGUGAGGACGUGGUAUCUGCAUCCGCGUGGCCAGCGUGUCCCUCUAGAAACAAACAGGCCCCUCCCGUCCUCCACGGCGCUGUGGUCCAGGCACCCCCUCAUCAGCGCUGCAGGCCCCGGCAUCUGAGCAGCCAUUCCUGCAGGAAGCCCCUGAGGCUUGGGGUGGCCGUUGCCACCACAUGGUCCUGCCAGCCUCACUGGGGCGUCUCCUGCCUGCAGCUUCGGCCCAUCCACCACACUCAGCUACCGUGUCGGUCAUCACGAGCCAGUUAUCACCGGCCAGUUAUUACAGGCCAGUCAUCACGAGCUGGUCAUCACUCUCUAAGCCGCUGUCUGGGAACUUUUCCUCCCCGAUCUCCUCUUCAUAUUGCAUCACCCGUGGGACUGGAUCAGGGUCCACCCCAACAACCUUGUUUUACCUUGACAGACUCAUUAAAGACCCCUUUUCUGAAUGCAA